CAUGAUGUCACCAGCCUGGUGAAGGCUCAAC
rnacentral:piRNA from 1 species